CCUANGGGGGGCUGCAGUAAGGAAUAUUGCGCAAUGGGCGAAAGCCUGACGCAGCGACGCCGCGUGAAGGAAGACGGCGCUAUGCGUUGUAAACUUCUUUUCCAGAGGAAUAAAAUUUUGUACGAGUACGGAACUGAAGGUACUCUGGGAAUAAGCAUCGGCUAACUCCGUGCCAGCAGCCGCGGUAAUACGGAGGAUGCGAGCGUUAUCCGGAUUUAUUGGGUUUAAAGGGUGCGUAGGCGGAUUAAUAAGUCAGUGGUGAAAACCUUCAGCUUAACUGGAGAACUGCCAUUGAUACUGUUAGUCUUGAGUACGGUCAAGGUAGGCGGAAUGUGUAAUGUAGCGGUGAAAUGCUUAGAUAUUACACAGAACACCGAUUGCGAAGGCAGCUUACUGGGCCAUUACUGACGCUGAUGCACGAAAGCGUGGGGAGCGAACAGGAUUAGAUACCCUUNUANUC
rnacentral:rRNA from 1 species